AUAUAACUAAGCGGUGGAAAAGAAACUAACUAGGAUUCCCUCAGUAACUGCGAGUGAAGUGGGAAAUGCUCAGACUGAAAAUCUUCGGAAUUGUAGUCUGUCGAAGUAUAGUCUAGCUCUUGUCUGAGAAGUAAAUCUCCUGGAAUGGAGUGCCGUGGAGGGUGAAAGCCCCGUUCAUCUUCUCAUGUCAUGGCGUCCGACUAGCUUUCUACGAGUCGAGUUGUUUGGGAUUGCAGCUCUAAGUGGGUGGUAAAUUCCAUCUAAAGCUAAAUAUUGGUGGGAGACCGAUAGCGCACAAGUA
rnacentral:rRNA from 1 species